GAUGAACGCUGGCGGCGUGCCUAAUACAUGCAAGUCGUGCGAACGGACGAGAAGCUUGCUUCUCUGAUGUUAGCGGCGGACGGGUGAGUAACACGUGGAUAACCUACCUAUAAGACUGGGAUAACUUCGGGAAACCGGAGCUAAUACCGGAUGAUAUUUUGAACCGCAUGGUUCAAAAGUGAAAGACGGUCUUGCUGUCACUUAUAGAUGGAUCCGCGCUGCAUUAGCUAGUUGGUAAGGUAACGGCUUACCAAGGCAACGAUGCAUAGCCGACCUGAGAGGGUGAUCGGCCACACUGGAACUGAGACACGGUCCAGACUCCUACGGGAGGCAGCAGUAGGGAAUCCUCCGCAAUGGGCGAAAGCCUGACGGAGCAACGCCGCGUGAGUGAUGAAGGUCUUCGGAUCGUAAAACUCUGUUAUUAGGGAAGAACAUAUGUGUAAGUAACUGUGCACAUCUUGACGGUACCUAAUCAGAAAGCCACGGCUAACUACGUG
rnacentral:rRNA from 1 species